rnacentral:rRNA from 1 species
UACGUAGGGUGCAAGCGUUGUCCGGAAUUAUUGGGCGUAAAGAGCUCGUAGGCGGUUUGUCGCGUCUGCUGUGAAAACCCGAGGCUCAACCUCGGGCCUGCAGUGGGUAUGGGCAGGCUAGAGUUCGGUAGGGGAGACUGGAAUUCCUGGUGUAGCGGUGAAAUGCGCAGAUAUCAGGAGGAACACCGGUGGCGAAGGCGGGUCUCUGGGCCGAUACUGACGCUGAGGAGCGAAAGCGUGGGGAGCGAACAGG